AUGAUCUCUACAUCCCUACUGCUGCUGCUGCUGGCAGCCGUACACUAUGUUCACUGUGUUGAACUGAUCCAUCCCGGAUCCACAGCGUUAACCCCGGGUCAGUCAAUGUCUCUGACCUGCAAAGUGUCUGGAUAUUCAUUAACUGAUAGCAACUACUGUACAGGCUGGAUACGACAACCUGCAGGAAAAGCUCUGGAGUGUGUUGGAUGGAUAUGUGUUAGCGGUAGCACUAUAUACAGUGAGAAACUGAAAAGGAGCUUUCAGGUUUCCAGAGACACGUUCAACAGCACAGUAACAUUAACAGGAUAGAACACGCAGACUGAAAACACAGCUGUGUAUUACUGCGCUCGUUAUCCACAAAGGUAGACAGAUCAACACCAUCCCUAUACAAAAACACCUCAUACAAAGGCCUACUAGAACUUCUGAAUGGAAAAAAUUUGUACAAUA